rnacentral:lncRNA from 1 species
UCCUUCAUUUUUGGAUACAGACGGUUGACUUGCGUGACCAAGUUAACCCACUUUAAAAAUUCCUUUUUCCGAUCAGAGUUAAACUUGUCGCCUAUUAAACACUCAUUCCAAUCCUUCGACACAAGAGAGAGGUGAACGAAGGUCCGGAUUGUGGUGGGAGCUUGAAUAAGUGUAUCCAGUAAUAGCCAUUUGACCUCGUGUGGGAUUUGCACUUGCACCUCCUCUUCCUACUCCAUUUCCUGCAUCAAUAUUAAAUUUCAGUCAUAUUAAUUAAUCAUUGAAUGAACAAAAACAAAAGUAUAGAGUUUGAAUGUUAGUAAUAAACUCAUUAACCAUACAUAUCACAUGAAAGACACAUAUAAUUAUAAGCUCAAGAUUUUAGAAAACAACCUCUUUGAAAUUAAAAUAGGUCUUUGAAAAAAAAAGGCAAAAAUUAAUAUUAAAAGAUUGUCAAAGCGAUGCCUAAUGAAGAAAGAUGUUAACGGUUAUACCACGCAUGUCUUGUGUUAAGCAAGUACUCUCUCCGUCCCACGAAUCUUGACACGUUUGAUUUCGGCACGGGAAUUAAGGAAUUGUAGAUUACUGUUUUAAUUGUGUAGUUAGUAAAG